rnacentral:rRNA from 1 species
GAUGAACGCUAGCGGCAGGCUUAAUACAUGCAAGUCGUGGGGCAGCAUGAGUAGCAAUACUUGAUGGCGACCGGCAAACGGGUGAGGAACACGUACACAACCUUCCUUCAAGCGGGGAAUAGCCCAGAGAAAUUUGGAUUAAUACCCCAUAAUAUAUUUGAUAAGGCAUCUUAUUAAUAUUAAAGCUUCGGCACUUGAUGAUGGGUGUGCGGCUGAUUAGAUAGUUGGCGGGGUAACGGCCCACCAAGUCUACGAUCAGUAGCUGAUGUGAGAGCAUGACCAGCCACACGGGCACUGAGACACGGGCCCGACUCCUACGGGAGGCAGCAGUAAGGAAUAUUGGACAAUGGACGAAAGUCUGAUCCAGCCAUGCCGCGUGAAGGAUUAAGGUCCUCUGGAUUGUAAACUUCUUUAUAUGGGACGAAAAAGGGCAUUCUUGUUCACUUGACGGUACCAUAUGAAUAAGCACCGGCUAACUCCGUGCCAGCA